CCCUGCCUUUUGUACACACCGCCCGUCGCUACUACCGAUUGAAUGGCUUAGUGAGGCGUUCGGAGAGCCUAUAAGGUGCUGGCAACAGUGCUUUACUGGUUUGAAGUUCUACAAACUUGGUCAUUUAG
rnacentral:rRNA from 1 species